UGGGGAAUAUUGCACAAUGGGGGAAACCCUGAUGCAGCGACGCCGCGUGAACGAAGAAGGUAUUCGUAUCGUAAAGUUCUGUCCUAUGGGAAGAUAAUGACAGUACCAUAGAAGAAAGCUCCGGCUAAAUACGUGCCAGCAGCCGCGGUAAUACGGAUGGAGCGAGCGUUGUCCGGAAUUAUUGGGCGUAAAGGGUACGCAGGCGGUUUAAUAAGUCGAAUGUUAAAGAUCGGGGCUCAACCCCGCAAAGCAUUGGAAACUGAUAAACUUGAGUAGUGGAGAGGACAGUGGAAUUCCUAGUGUAGUGGUGAAAUACGUAGAUAUUAGGAGGAAUACCAGUAGCGCAGGCGACUUUCUGGACACAAACUGACGCUGAGGUACGAAAGCGUGGGGAGCAAACAGG
rnacentral:rRNA from 1 species